ACCAAUUCGUACAUACAGCCCCUUUAACCCUACGACGACGCCGCUCUGGUGAUGUCACCAUAAUUCCUACACCAGAGUUUUCCUAGAGCUGAUAUCGUUUAAUAAGAAACCAGAAACAGUCAAUUCCAUUUUCCUGUACCAAAGUGUCUUUUAAUUUCAUUGCUACAUUUCAGCAACUAAAAUGUCUACCUUUUUACAAGUCAAAAAACAAUAAAAGGAAUCAAUCGAAAGAGUAUAAAACAUUAGUCAAAUGGAUUCAGACUGGCCGACCUCCCAUCUCUGAGAAAUGUCAGACGAGCCAAAACUGGGCUAGGCAGAUCGACCAGACUUCGGAAUCAUAGUUUGAUUGGCUGGCAUCAGGAUCAGGCCGGUUGAGGACCUCAUCAACAGGCCGUGUGUCCCAGAAGACACGUCAGGCAGUCAGCGUCUUCCUGAUCCAACACCUUGUGUUUGGAAUGCUAAAGCUAAGUUGGAUCCAGGUUAGGAAUCAUGGAAGUGAGGUUAGCGUUCACCCUGCUCUUUGGCUUGUUCCCGUGAGUGUGUGCGUUUGCGUGUGUUAUACUUUAUUAUCCGAUCAUGGCACAGUGUACUUUGGCACUUUGAGUCUUGGUCUGUGAGGGGGAGGUCCUUAUUCGGUGGGCCGGUUCAAUCCUCCUCCUGGCCGGGGGGGGUCUUCUGGGACAGGAGGAACGUCUCCCACACGGCCAGACACUGCAACACAAGACAAGGCUGUUAGCAUGCAGGACUGUUCAACGGCAGGACUCUGUUAGCCUCAGGACUCUGUUAGCCUCCGGGACUCUGUUAGCCUGCAGGACUCUGUUAGCCUGCAGGACUCUGUUAGCCUCCAGGACUCUGUUAGCCUGCAGGACUCUGUUAGCCUGCAGGACUCUGUUAGCCUGCAGGACUCUGUUAGCCUGCAUCACUCUGUUAGCCUGCAUGACACUGUUAGCCUGCAUGACUCUGUUAGCCUGCAUGACUCCGUUAGCCUCCGGGACUCUGUUAGCCUGCAUGACUCUGUUAGCCUGCAUGACUCUGUUAGACCGAACCUCAGGACUAGGUUAGCCUGCACAGGCCUCUUGUGGUGCUUCUGCCCCCUGACGGCCUGCUUCUGGCCACUAUGCUGCCACUGGGCAGUAUGUCCUCUCUGACCUUCAUCUGAGCUGAAUACUGCUCCCUGGCCGAUGCCAUGAGUCUGGAACAUGAAGAAACGCUUGAUCAUACUUUAUCCACACUUUAGAAGGUCAUCUCAAGCCAGAUGGUUUGGGCUGCAUUUGAUCCAGUCAUUAGAGUCCGAUCAGAUCCUGACUGGAAUGAGUCCAUGAGACGCAUUGGGGAGCAAGGAUCAUCACUCUGAGUCUAGAUCAUGAAAUAGUGAGGGAUAAGAUGUUCUCUUUUCCUCUCUCCUUUUUUUACAUGAAUGAUCACAUAACAGGACUCUGAGGCAGACAGGUCUCUGAGGUCUCUGACACUGGCGCCUCCAACACAUCCCACACUUUAAGCGGUCAGAGGAACUGGCCUCAGGCCAGCUGAGCGUACGAGGAACCCAAGCGGUGAAUCAGAGGCUGUCAGAAUGGAAGGAGUGUCUCACAUGACCCCGCACGGCGCCCGCCCCAAAGCCCCAAGCGGGCGUCCGGGCGCACAGUGUGAGGCCCUGGUGACACCAUGUGACCCCAUGGGAGGAUCAGCUGAGGCAGAACGGGUGAACGCAACGUGACGGGUCUGGGCAUUGCACCUCCACGAGCCCUACGCUAAACUCGUUUUAAUAUAUCAGGGAAAGAUGUCUUUGUGAUGAAACAAAUUAACCAAGUGUGUUCAAAAUAUCCUCUCCACCAAGAGAAGGUGCACUAACACCAAGAAGCCAGUGGCUCCGUCAUGCUACCCCAAACAACAAUACCCAGUAGACGUAGGUUAAGAACCACGAUACAGUCCUGUAUGGAGUGUGAAGGAUGAGGUAUAUACAGGAUGAUCUGUAUCAGAGUGUAAAGGAUGAGGUAUAUACAGGAUGAUCUGUAUCACAGUGUAACGGAUGAGGUGUAUACAGGAUGAUCUGUAUCAGAGUGUAAAGGAUGAGGUAUGUACAGGAGUGCAAAGGAUGCUGCUAUGUGCUUCUUUACUCAAAUCUUCCUUUUUCGUGGUUAGCUCACCCCUGAAAACCUUCGUUCGCACUCUGUUACAACGCGCAUUUGGAAGAAAAACCUUGAACGAUCACAGUACGACCUAUGGUAGAGAAAACUAACACACACACACACACACACACACACACACACACACACACACACACACACACACACACACACACACACACACACACACACACACACACACACACACACACACACACACAGUCUCUGGUCCAGUGCCGCCGCAUCUCUGUUGCUAGGGGGUAACCAUGGCGAUGUCUCUAGUUUUACUCCCUAAUGCAUCACACUAUUCAUAAAAGGGCAGAGCCACAGUGAAUGCUAAUGUCCAGACACGUUGUUCCUCUGCGCUAACCUUAAGCUAACCAAACCCUCCACCUCAGCAGCCCUUCCACUUACAGGAUGGCUGGGGGCCAAUCAGGGAGGAACAAGCUUUCCCCAAAACCUCUGCGCUAAGAAAAGAUAAUGAGAAAAUGUGUGUUUGGGUAUGGGCCUGCAGACAUGUUUGUCCACCUGCUCUGACUGUAGAAACAAGCAGACAGAUGCCUCUCAACUGUUUUGUCAGUCACAACACAACUCAGAGGUGAAGAAGACAUCGUUGAUGGUCACCCAUGUUGGUAAUAUCCUCCAUUCAUACCACAGUUGAACUGGAUUGAACUUCGAAUGCAUUUGUAUUCCAAGUCCUCUUGAGCUUACCCACUUACGCCAACUGACUCACUUACUGAAGAUACCGUCUUACUGCAUCAAAACAAAGUCUUCUGCCCGUCAAGAAGAUAUUAACAUAAUAUUUAGCAAAGGUUUUACAAAGUGAUGAUGAGGAUAGCUGGCUAGCAGCUCAACACCGUCUCCAACAAAUACACUCUUGGGUUCUAAUGACAUUUCUUUUUUGCCAGCCAUCUUUGGUUAAUUGGAUAUAAAAGAAUAAUAAGAGUCUUAAAAAGUAAUGAAUCAUAUUACAGAAUGCAUUGUCGAUAUAGAGAAGAUUUCCAUGCGAAAUGUGUGCAGACGUUAACAUCCUGCGAGACCAUGUGGUUAACCCGUCAACAUGACCGUCCAAUCCGGAGGCUGGAUAAUGAACCCUCAUUAACGCCCAAAGCCUGGAGCCGGUCCUAACGUUAACGCCGUGACCCCCUCCUCCUUCAGCCUCCACCCUGCUCCUCCUCCACCCGGCCCAUCCCCGGCCU
ensembl:lncRNA